rnacentral:sRNA from 1 species
UUACUUAAAUAUUUUUACUUUAUUUGAUGAUAUUUCUUCAUAAAAUUUUACCACAUAAUCAUAUUAGUUUUUAAAAUUUUUAUGUGAAUUUAAAAAGUCUAAUUUUGCUAUUUCAAAAAUAUGUAGCAAUUUUUAUUUAAACUCAGCCGACGGUGUACGUGAUAUUGUUAAAAUUGGUGUACUAAUAGUAAUAUACAACAAUAACGUAAAAAUUAAUAUAAUUACUGAUGUAGAAAAUGAUACACUGAGUAUAACAGUGUACAAAAUGAUGUACAUAGAUGAUGAAAAAUAUGGUGUACAUAAUCGUACACCUUUAAAAAUCUAUGAGACAAUGUACUAACAUUGGUGUACGAGAUGAUGUACACCACUAAUUAAAAUAAUGAUUUAUACAUUCUCUAUAAGUGUACACCAAGUUUUGUACACUUUGUCUACCAAUCUUGUAUGUUAUCAUUUAAAAGUUGUAUAUAUCAUUCUAUCCACCAAUCGUCAUAAUAGUUUCAAUCAUUUUGUACAUUAUUAAGAGUAACUUAAUUAUAUACACCAUCAUGUACACCAUUAUAUUGAAUAAUAAUAUUUGGUUUAUACAAUCAUUAUGUUUGUAAAAUAUUAAAACAAUAUUACUUAUAUUAAUAAGUAUAAGAGAAGUCGGUGAUGAUUUAUGAAAUAUCGGUGUACACACUUGUACACCAACGAAUAAUGGUUAGUGUACAAAACGAUGUUUUAAAUGUUUGUGCAUUAUAAUGAUGACAGAUAAAUAGUCUAAAAGUUAAUGUAAUUUUUUUAAAAAAAUAAUAUUUAAUUUUUUUAAGUAUUUAAG